CAGAGAGCAUCAACAGCAGCCAGAAGAGUUUCCAGUCGUAACCAGUGAAACAGAAAAAUACGUGUUUAACACCAUUGUAAAUGCAACGUCAAACUCCAUUUGUCUGACUCCACUACUUCUAAGUUACAGAUGCCUUUUGUGAAAGCUCCAAUGGAUACUAAUACCAACUACAACUAUCUGUCGCCCGCCUGAGCAGCCUAAACAAUUUCUGGAAGAUUUCUCUGCCUGGCUCCCUCACUUUCUAUCCUCUGACAUCUCUUCGUCUUGUGAGAAGAACUAAGCAAACUAACAGUAUUUUCAGGAGCUCAAAGUCUUCUGAAAGAAACAAGUAUCUUCCAAUAGUCAUGGCAACAUUUCCAAUCCCCCUAUCCAUCCCCUGGAAAAAGAGGUCAAAUGCUAUCCUCAUGUAUAUAGAAGUGUUUGUGGAAACCCUCUGAUUGCUCACACAGACAGGACCAGCUAGAGUAGUGUGCAUUGGUCACAUCUGUACCGGGAAGAGAGACAGAUGGGAAGAGAAGAGGAUCAUCCAUCAUCCCACAAGCCCCUAGGGAAAAAGACUGAGCAGAAGCAGAGUAAACUCCUGAUUCACACAUACAACAUCCAGCUGACUAUACUGUAUAUACCAAGUAGGCACAGCACACACAGCAAAGUCUGCUAGGGUCCAAGAAUACAUUAUUAUAUUUUAAAAAUGUAAUAUGGUCACGUGUAUAUAUAAUACAU